rnacentral:rRNA from 1 species
AUCGAACGCUGGCUGCAGGCCUAACACAUGCAAGUCGGGCGAGAGGCGGACGGGUGAGUAAGGUAUGGGGACAUGGCUGAUGUACGGGGAUAACUACUGUCACCGGUAGCUAAUACCGCAUACCACCAUAUGAAGUCAUAUGGGAUUAGCUUGUAGGUGAGGGAACGGCUCAUCUAGGCGACGAUCCCUAGCUGGUCUGAGAGGCUGAUCAGCCACACUGGGACUGAGACACGGCCCAGACUCCUACGGGAGGCAGCAGUGGGGAAUAUUGCACAAUGGGCGCAAGCAUGAUGCAGCCAUGCCGCGUGUAUGAAGAAGGCCUUCGGGUUGUAAAGUACUUUCAGUCGGGAGGCGUUACCGACAGAAGAAGCACCGGCUAACUCCGUGCCAGCCGCCGCGGUAAUAC